rnacentral:rRNA from 1 species
CACCUGGGGGGGCGGCUACACAUGCAGUCGAGCGGAUGAGAGGAGCUUGCUCCUUGAUUUAGCGGCGGACGGGUGAGUAAUGCCUAGGAAUCUGCCUGGUAGUGGGGGAUAACGUCCGGAAACGGGCGCUAAUACCGCAUACGUCCUACGGGAGAAAGCAGGGGACCUUCGGGCCUUGCGCUAUCAGAUGAGCCUAGGUCGGAUUAGCUAGUUGGUGAGGUAAUGGCUCACCAAGGCGACGAUCCGUAACUGGUCUGAGAGGAUGAUCAGUCACACUGGAACUGAGACACGGUCCAGACUCCUACGGGAGGCAGCAGUGGGGAAUAUUGGACAAUGGGCGAAAGCCUGAUCCAGCCAUGCCGCGUGUGUGAAGAAGGUCUUCGGAUUGUAAAGCACUUUAAGUUGGGAGGAAGGGCAUUAACCUAAUACGUUAGUGUUUUGACGUUACCGACAGAAUAAGCACCGGCUAACUUCGUGCCAGCAGCCGCGGUAAUACGAAGGGUGCAAGCGUUAAUCGGAAUUACUGGGCGUAAAGCGCGCGUGGGUGGUUCGUUAAGUUGGAUGCGAAAGCCCCGGGCUCAACCUGGGAACUGCAUCCAAAACUGGCGAGCUAGAGUACGGUAGAGGGUGGUGGAAUUUCCUGUGUAGCGGUGAAAUGCGUAGAUAUAGGAAGGAACACCAGUGGCGAAGGCGACCACCUGGACUGAUACUGACACUGAGGUGCGAAAGCGUGGGGAGCAAACAGGAUUAGAUACCCUGGUAGUCCACGCCGUAAACGAUAUCAACUAGCCGUUGGGUUCCUUGAGAACUUAGUGGCGCAGCUAACGCAUUAAGUUGACCGCCUGGGGAGUACGGCCGCAAGGUUAAAACUCAAAUGAAUUGACGGGGCCCGCACAAGCGGUGGAGCAUGGUGGUUUAAUUCGAAGCAACGCGAGAACCUUACCUUGCCUUGACAUGCUGAGAACUUUCCAGAAAUGGAUCUGCUGC